CGGCGGUGUGCCUAAUACAUGCAAGUCGUACGCACUGGCCCAACUGAUUGAUGGUGCUUGCACCUGAUUGACGAUGGAUCACCAGUGAGUGGCGGACGGGUGAGUAACACGUAGGUAACCUGCCCCGGAGCGGGGGAUAACAUUUGGAAACAGAUGCUAAUACCGCAUAACAACAAAAGCCACAUGGCUUUUGUUUGAAAGAUGGCUUUGGCUAUCACUCUGGGAUGGACCUGCGGUGCAUUAGCUAGUUGGUAAGGUAACGGCUUACCAAGGCGAUGAUGCAUAGCCGAGUUGAGAGACUGAUCGGCCACAAUGGAACUGAGACACGGUCCAUACUCCUACGGGAGGCAGCAGUAGGGAAUCUUCCACAAUGGGCGCAAGCCUGAUGGAGCAACACCGCGUGAGUGAAGAAGGGUUUCGGCUCGUAAAGCUCUGUUGUUGGAGAAGAACGUGCGUGAGAGUAACUGUUCACGCAGUGACGGUAUCCAACCAGAAAGUCACGGCUAACUACGUGCCAGCAGCCGCGGUAAUACGUAGGUGGCAAGCGUUAUCCGGAUUUAUUGGGCGUAAAGCGAGCGCAGGCGGUUGCUUAGGUCUGAUGUGAAAGCCUUCGGCUUAACCGAAGAAGUGCAUCGGAAACCGGGCGACUUGAGUGCAGAAGAGGACAGUGGAACUCCAUGUGUAGCGGUGGAAUGCGUAGAUAUAUGGAAGAACACCAGUGGCGAAGGCGGCUGUCUGGUCUGCAACUGACGCUGAGGCUCGAAAGCAUGGGUAGCGAACAGGAUUAGAUACCCUGGUAGUCCAUGCCGUAAACGAUGAGUGCUAGGUGUUGGAGGGUUUCCGCCCUUCAGUGCCGGAGCUAACGCAUUAAGCACUCCGCCUGGGGAGUACGACCGCAAGGUUGAAACUCAAAGGAAUUGACGGGGGCCCGCACAAGCGGUGGAGCAUGUGGUUUAAUUCGAAGCUACGCGAAGAACCUUACCAGGUCUUGACAUCUUGCGCUAACCUUAGAGAUAAGGCGUUCCCUUCGGGGACGCAAUGACAGGUGGUGCAUGGUCGUCGUCAGCUCGUGUCGUGAGAUGUUGGGUUAAGUCCCGCAACGAGCGCAACCCUUGUUACUAGUUGCCAGCAUUAAGUUGGGCACUCUAGUGAGACUGCCGGUGACAAACCGGAGGAAGGUGGGGACGACGUCAGAUCAUCAUGCCCCUUAUGACCUGGGCUACACACGUGCUACAAUGGACGGUACAACGAGUCGCAAGCUCGCGAGAGUAAGCUAAUCUCUUAAAGCCGUUCUCAGUUCGGACUGUAGGCUGCAACUCGCCUACACGAAGUCGGAAUCGCUAGUAAUCGCGGAUCAGCAUGCCGCGGUGAAUACGUUCCCGGGCCUUGUACACACCGCCCGUCACACCAUGGGAGUUUGUAACGCCCAAAGUCGGUGGCCUAACCUUUAUGGAGGGAGCCGCCUAAGGCGGGACAGAUGACUGGGGUG
rnacentral:rRNA from 2 species